GAUGAAGAACGAAGCGAAAUGCGAUACUUGGUGUGAAUUGCAGAAUCCCGUGAACCAUCGAGUCUUUGAACGCAAGUUGCGCCCGAAGCCACUAGGCCGAGGGCACGCCUGCCUGGGCGUCACACGCCGUUGCCCCCCCAUCUACUCCUUCGGGAUUGCGGGGGGGCGGAUGAUGGCCUCCCGUGCGCCUAGCCGCGCGGUUGGCAUAAAUACCAAGUCCUCGGCGACGCACGCCACGACAAUCGGUGGUUGCGAAACCUCGGUUGCGCGUCGUGUGCGUUCGUCGCGCAUCGAGGGCUCGAAAAAAUGCUCGGCUCCGGCUGGGCUUUCAACGCGACCCCAGGUCAGGCGGGGUUACCCGCUGAAUUUAAGCAUAUCAAUAAGCGGAGGA
rnacentral:misc_RNA from 1 species